rfam:Gossypium raimondii Chr06_contig_1204, whole genome shotgun sequence.
GGGUUAGGAAUGGAGCUCCUUGAAGUCCAAUAGAGGUUCUUGCUGGGUUUAUUGAGCUGCUUGGCUAUGGAUCCCACAGUCCUAUCCCAUGUUGGGGGGGAUAGGCUUGCGGCUUCCAUAUCUCAGGAGCUUCAUUACCUUUAAAGUUAGAUCCUUGUUUGGAUUGAAGGGAGCUCUACAUCUUUCUCCU